GGAUUAGGCAUGCAAGUCGCACGAGAAAGGUUUCUUCGGAAGCCGAGUACAGUGGCGAACGGGUGAGUAAUGCAUAGACAACUCGCCCUUGAGAUGGGGACAACGCCUCGAAAGGGGUGCUAAUACCCAAUGCCGCCUUGGGCCCGCGGGUCCAGGGUGAAAGGAGGCCUCUGAUUCAAGCUUCCGCUCAAGGAGAGGUUUAUGUCCUAUUAGCUAGUUGGCGGGGUAACGGCCCACCAAGGCUGCGAUGGGUAGCCGACCUGAGAGGGUGACCGGCCACAUUGGGACUGAGACACUGCCCAGACUCCUACGGGAGGCUGCAGUCGAGAAUCUUCCGCAAUGCGCGCAAGCGUGACGGAGCGACGCCGCGUGGGUGAUGAAGGCCUUCGGGUUGUAAAACCCUGUCAGCUACUACGAAACACGGGCGAUGAACAAUCGUCCCGUCUGACUUAAGUAGCAGAGGAAGCACCGGCUAACUACGUGCCAGCAGCCGCGGUAAUACGUAGGGUGCAAACGUUGUUCGGAAUCACUGGGCAUAAAGGGCGCGUAGGCGGUCUGAUAAGUCAGGUGUGAAAUCCCUCGGCCUAACCGAGGAACUGCAUUUGAUACUGUCGGGCUAGAGUACAGGAGGGGAGAGUGGAAUUCCUGGUGGAGCGGUGAAAUGCGUAGAUAUCAGGAGGAACGCCGGCGGCGAAAGCGACUCUCUGGCCUGUUACUGACGCUGAGGCGCGAAAGCUAUGGGAGCAAACGGGAUUAGAUACCCCGGUAGUCCUAGCCCUAAACGAUGGGCACUAAGUAGAGGGGUUUU
rnacentral:rRNA from 1 species